rnacentral:rRNA from 1 species
UACGUAGGGUGCAAGCGUUGUCCGGAAUUAUUGGGCGUAAAGAGCUUGUAGGCGGUUUGUCGCGUCUGCUGUGAAAUUUCGGGGCUCAACCCCGAACUUGCAGUGGGUACGGGCAGACUAGAGUGUGGUAGGGGAGACUGGAAUUCCUGGUGUAGCGGUGAAAUGCGCAGAUAUCAGGAGGAACACCGAUGGCGAAGGCAGCACUCUGGGACGUGACUGACGCUGAGACGCGAAAGCGUGGGGAGCAAACAGG